rnacentral:rRNA from 1 species
GGGGGACCUUCGGGCCUCUUGCCAUCGGAUGUGCCCAGAUGGGAUUAGCUAGUAGGUGGGGUAACGGCUCACCUAGGCGACGAUCCCUAGCUGGUCUGAGAGGAUGACCAGCCACACUGGAACUGAGACACGGUCCAGACUCCUACGGGAGGCAGCAGUGGGGAAUAUUGCACAAUGGGCGCAAGCCUGAUGCAGCCAUGCCGCGUGUAUGAAGAAGGCCUUCGGGUUGUAAAGUACUUUCAGCGGGGAGGAAGGGAGUAAAGUUAAUACCUUUGAUCAUUGACGUUACCCGCAGAAGAAGCUCCGGCUACGUCCGCGCAGCAGC